AAACUGGUUAAUCAAAACCAAAUAGUUAAAAAGUGUGUAAAUUCAGUGCAUUGCCAAUUUAGCAAACUGGGUCAGCAAACCAUCUUGUUUCCUAGCCCUGAUUGGGUUCUUUCAGAUCUUAUUUUGAAAAUAAACUCAUAGUUCUUAUCAUUUGUUUUACAGAUAAGGAUACUAAAACGAGUAGUAAUUGUGAGUUAACUAAGGUCAUAGAGACACUUGACAAGAAUCCAAGAUUUCUAACAUCUGGUCUUAAUUUUUAAUUUUGUUAGAGGAUUCUAAUUUUAAAUGUCCUUUCCUAUAAAAACUAAAGGUUAUACUCCUCUGGUGGUCCAAACCACACUGUCUGCCUCAUCACUUUUUUCAUCAACUUUGUUGUCAAGAUACAGCGGAAAGACCAUUGCUCACAAGUGAGAAAAUUUCCACGUUGUUGAGAUUCUGUUGUUAACUAGUAGUUUUCUAUAGGUUAGUGUGAUGGUUAUCUACCUAUCAACCCUGCUGGAGCAGAAGUCUGCAUACUAAAUUCCACAGACUCUUUUGGCAGUAAAGCAUUAGAGAGAAAAGCAUAAGGGAAGUAUUAGAGGGAAAUGAGAAGGUGCAGAGAGGAGAGAAGAGACUUCUUUUCAGUUUUUGAUAGUGUGUUCCAGCAAGAGAAGACAGUUGCAGCUUUGUGAUCUGCCUUCUGUGGGACUUCUAGCACCAGCUUUGCUGCAGUUUCUCAGAGAGACAAAGACCAGGCAAUUAAAUCUCCUCAGUGGUUCCAAGCUCCAGCUUCAUAUCCCCGUCCCCCCAGUCAAGCUGUCUAAGCACCAACUGUGUAAAGGAUGAGUCUCCAAGCUCUUACUCUGUCUUCUACCAGCACUAAAGCUGUGUGUUGAGACUUCUCUGCUGGACUCUUGGACUUCCACAAAGGUGUUUUGGAAGAGUUCGCCUGUCAAGCCGGCAGAGCUGAAAGCAGUCUGCCUUCCUGCUGCUUGAGGGCAGCUUUUUUGGGCUUGAUGGCAAAAAUUCUCCAACAAAAAACACAAAAAGGCCUCCCUGCCAAGAUUGCAUCUAAGGCCUUCAAGGUGAUCAAUAUCUUAUCAGAGAAGUUGUUCCCAACAAACCCAAGAGCCUCAUUUCAACUUGGAUUGGACUUAGAUGGCAAGAUUUUGGACCUCAAGUUCUGGUUGAUGAGACUUUUGAGAAGUCUUAGAAAGGGAUUCAAAAUUAAAAUUUACUUUGCAUUUUAUGGGAUAGUUCAGUCUGCGAGUAUUAUAGGACUUUAAUUGACUAAAUGCCUCCCCUUUCUCAGAAGGCCAAACCACUUGCUUUGGAAAGAAGGAUCAUGAAAUAUAUGACGUGACUUUGCAUCACGUAAGAUGACAAGUUUUACAUCAUCUGGAUUCCUAAAUAUUUUUUUGUGGGAGAAAUGUGAAUAAUUUGUUGCCAGUGUGUAAUCUGUGACUGAUUUAUAACACAGCCUUUAAUUCUUUCAUACUCCUCCCAUCAAUAGAUGGGGAUCUUUCUUCUUUCCCCAAAAAUCUGGAUAGAUUUGUGGCUAUGGCAGGAGGGGCAUUAUUCAAUUUCUUUCUUGUUCUCUUGGUGCACACACAUUGACCAUGCUAUAAGGGAGCCAAGCAACCUACAUGAAGUGGUUGCGUGUACAUGUUCUAGGUGAUGACGACAGAGAAGAUUCCAGCUGACAGUCAGUGUCAACCACCAGACGUAGGGAAGAAGCUCCUGUAGUGACACCAGAGCCACCACCUACAGUAGCUGCAUGAGAUCCUAAGUCAAGAACCACCUAGCCGAGCCCAGUCAAUCAUCAGAACCGUGAGAAAUAAUAAUGAAAUAAACUAUUGCUGUUUUAAGCCACCAAGUUUUUGAGUUGUUAUGCAGCAAUAAUAACUAGAACACUAGAUGGUAGAUAAGACUUGAGCUUAAUUUAAAUAUGUUUUAAUAGCAAAAUAUGCUAAUUAUUCUUUACCAACAGUUUGCUUUUACCAAUAAUUUAUUUUAUUUUAAUAGAAUAUUAUUCUUCUUUGUAUAAGGGAGUCUUUGAUGAUAGAAUAUCAGGUAAUUACAGAAGUUAAUAAAAAUGGUUUUGGCAUGGUUGUUGAUCACCUUUGGAAAUCCAAGCCAUGUGGAACUUUGUCAUCUUACAUGUUGAUAAAUCAGUUCAUAUAUUGAAGGCUUCUUUGGAGGGUAAACUCUUAUAGUGAGGGGUGGGGGUUUACUCAGGGUGUUAUUAUGCUGCCAGGCUAAACUAUUCCAGAAUCUUUGAAUCUCUUUAUAUAUUUUGAAUCUCUUUAUAUACUAAAACAUACUGUGUUUAAAAAUGUUUCUUAGCAUUAUUAUUUUGACGCUUAGGUUCACUAGGAUAUUAUUUUCAGCAGUUGUUUAACUUGUCUCAUGUUUCUGAUAUAUCAGUUCUUUGGUUUUUCAGUUGUUUGAUCUCUGCCAAUUAAGAUGCCUAACUUCGCUUUGCUAGUGUGCUAGAAGGUCACCACUGCUUUGUGUUCAAAUAGCUCAUUCUGUAUUCCCUGAAACCUUUCCUUUCUUCUGUAAAUUGACUGUUAACAUGGAGUUUAUAAACCAUUUUAAUAACUAAAUCCACUGUUUAUCUUUGUGAAUUAAAUAUACUUUUAUGUGGGUAGAGAGGAUAGUAAGCUCCAGUUCAAAGAGGCUCAGGAUUUCACCUACAAAAUGUAUGUGGUUUUAAAACCUCAUUUAAGCUUUAUCUGGCAUUACAAGAGCUCAAAAUCCUAUACACUGUGUCAAGUAGAAAGUAAUGGAAUUUCAAUUUUGCUACAUAGAUUUCUUAGUGAUGCUUGAAGAGUUUGAUUUAACUAGAUAAAUGAAUUAAAGGGUUGAAAAAGCAAGUGCAAGGAAUGAAUUUUGUCUGUGUAUUUUGGGUUAUUUAAUAGAAACAUUUUGAUAGUAGUUAUAUACCUUUACUAGAGAUAGAAGAAGAAUUUGAUUUAAAUUCUGACAUGAUUCAUUAGAUACUGGAAAUAAUUUGCUGACAAGUAUUAAAUACAUUGGGAAUAAAGGUUGUGCAACAGCUUUCCCUGGAAGUUAGCAUUUUUGAUGGAAUUACACUGAUAAAAUCCUGAAUGGAAAGAACUGUAUAUGCUCAGAUAUCACUUAAGGAUUUCAACCAUUUUUGUUCAUAUUCCAUUGGAAAAUAUUUUGAAAUCUAUGCUUCCUUUUCCAUACAAUCAUGCCCU
rnacentral:lncRNA from 1 species